GAACAUUGAUACAUGACUCAA
rnacentral:siRNA from 1 species